rnacentral:rRNA from 1 species
CAGCCGCCGCGGUAAUACGAGGGGGGCAAGCGUUGUUCGGAAUUAUUGGGCGUAAAGGGCGCGUAGGCGGUUUGGCAAGUUUGGUGUGAAAUCUUCGGGCUCAACUCGAAGUCUGCAUCGAAAACUGCCGGGCUUGAGUAUGGGAGAGGUGAGUGGAAUUUCCGGUGUAGCGGUGAAAUGCGUAGAUAUCGGAAGGAACACCUGUGGCGAAAGCGGCUCACUGGACCAUAACUGACGCUGAGGCGCGAAAGCUAGGGGAGCAAACAGGAUUAGAUACCCGCGUAGUCCCUGUCUCUUAUAA